GGUGAACGCUGGCGGCGUGCCUAAUACAUGCAAGUAGAACGCUGAAGGAAGGAGCUUGCUCUUUCCGGAUGAGUUGCGAACGGGUGAGUAACGCGUAGGUAACCUGCCUGGUAGCGGGGGAUAACUAUUGGAAACGAUAGCUAAUACCGCAUAACAGUAGAUGUUGCAUGAUAUCUACUUAAAAGGUACAAUUGCACCACUACCAGAUGGACCUGCGUUGUAUUAGCUAGUUGGUGAGGUAACGGCUCACCAAGGCGACGAUACAUAGCCGACCUGAGAGGGUGAUCGGCCACACUGGGACUGAGACACGGCCCAGACUCCUACGGGAGGCAGCAGUAGGGAAUCUUCGGCAAUGGACGGAAGUCUGACCGAGCAACGCCGCGUGAGUGAAGAAGGUUUUCGGAUCGUAAAGCUCUGUUGUAAGAGAAGAACGAGUGUGAGAGUGGAAAGUUCACACUGUGACGGUAUCUUACCAGAAAGGGACGGCUAACUACGUG
rnacentral:rRNA from 1 species